CGGGGUGAGUAAUGCUUGGGAAUCUAGCUUAUGGAGGGGGAUAACUACGGGAAACUGUAGUUAAUACCGCGUAGAAUCGAGAGAUGAAAGUGUGGGACCUUCGGGCCACAUGCCAUAGGAUGAGCCCAAGUGGGAUUAGGUAGUUGGUGAGGUAAAGGCUCACCAAGCCGACGAUCUCUAGCUGGUCUGAGAGGAUGACCAGCCACACUGGGACUGAGACACGGCCCAG
rnacentral:rRNA from 1 species